rnacentral:rRNA from 1 species
AGAGUUUGAUCCUGGCUCAGGAUGAACGCUAGCUACAGGCUUAACACAUGCAAGUCGAGGGGCAGCAUGUUGGUUGCUUGCAACCAAUGAUGGCGACCGGCGCACGGGUGAGUAACGCGUAUCCAACCUACCCUUGUCCAUCGGAUAACCCGUCGAAAGGCGGCCUAACACGAUAUGCGGUUCUCAGCAGGCAUCUAACGAGAACGAAAUGUGAAGGAGAAGGAUGGGGAUGCGUCUGAUUAGCUUGUUGGCGGGUAACGCCACAAGGCGACGAUCAGUAGGGUUCNGAGAGGAAGGUCCCCCAAUUGGAACUGAGACACGGUCCAAACUCCUAGGGAGCA